rnacentral:rRNA from 1 species
GAGAAAGAGCAAUAACAGGUCUGUGAUGCCCUAAGAUGUCCGGGGCCGCACGCGUGCUACAAUGACGAUGCUAGUGAGCAUGAUUAACUUGCCCGAAAGGGUAGGUAAAACUGUUCAAUCAUCGUCGUGACUGGGAUUGGGGUUUGCAAUUAUCCCCCAUGAACCAGGAAUUCCUAGUAAGCACAAGUCAUAAGCUUGUGCUGAUUACGUCCCUGCCCUUUGUACACACCGCCCGUCGCUACUACCGAUUGAAUGGCUUAGCAAGGUCAUUGGAUUGAGUUCUUGCGGUUCACGCUGCUUGAAUUCGAGAAGAUGCCCGAACUUGGUCAUUUAGAGGAAGUAAAAGUCGUAACAAGGUUUCCGUAGGUGAACCUGCGGAAGGAUCAUUAUCAAAUUCCAAACCCAAAGCCGCUCUACCAAGAGUGGUCGCGCCUCAUGCAGUUUGCUCUGCUCGGUGCAUUGUGAUACAGAAGUGGGUGCAGCGGGCUAGGCGGUAUUGAGUAUCGUUUAGCUUUGCUGUAUCUACCACCGAUCCCUCAGACCGGUGGCCGGUUGGCAUGCGCAGUUGUGGUAGCGUUGCGCAUGUUGGCUUGUCGCCUUAUAUUCAUUUGUUGGUCUGGGCUUGGUCGGCGUUGCCACAAAACCUCUCCCUUGUGGAGUUCCUGUCUCAGUACUCAUUUUACAAAACGCGUGUUCGUCUGUUGCAUGCUCGCAUGUGCAGGUGUAUGCGCUGCUUUGCUUGGUCUCGUUGCUUGUUCUUCGUGGGCUUGACAGUCUGUAGCUGCUAACGCGGCGGCGGAUAGUCGCUAACGUGGCGCGGGUUGCGGUAUCGAGUUGGGUAGUGUGUGCGCUUGUGUGUGUUGGCUUGCUCGGAUGUGCAUACGUAGGCAUUGGCACUCGUGGUCUUGCC